CUAUGAUGUUCAUGGUGUUGCUUCUGUAGCAUCUCCAGAAGAGAUAUGCAGAGCCUAUUAUCUCAAGGCUUUUGAAUUUCCUUCUUUAUGUUUUACAUUCUAAAUUUAAUUUUUUCAGCUUUGCUUAGUGAUUGUUUUUAUUGUAGUUUGUUACACUCUAAGUUUCAUCUGUUUGUACUUUUAAAAUUUGCUAAAUGGAUGUAAUUAAACAUUUUUGGGAUGUUUGAAUUAGGAAAUUAAGGUGUAUUUUUUUUUUCCAUUUGAUUAUUUGUUAAACUAACAUUCAUUUGAUAUGAAGUACAAAUGGUGUAGAAACGACCAUUUUGGUAUGUUGAAGGAAAUAUUUGACAACAAACACAUUCACUAAAUUGAAAUUGUACCAGAUUAUACGAGGAGUGAAAAUUAUCUGAAGGGGUGUGUGUUUCUUUUCUUAAAUAAUGCACAAGAUUUUAACAUCAUAUUUGUUGUUUGUAGAAAUGACAUUGACUGACAUCUCUAUUAGAGUUCAUAUAUAUUUCUUUGAUUGUUAACUCAACAACUCUUUUAGUUAGCUACUACAUUUCUUCCUAUUGAAACAAGAUGCUAAAAGCUUCUGCAUAGAGACAGAUAAUUGAUUUUCCUGUUAGUAGGAGUGUCACUAAGAGUAGUGAAUCAUGUUGUGGAGAGAACUGCUAAUAGGAGGUCUCAUUCCUUAUUGUGUCAGUGGCUUAGUGCGUACAAGUAGAUUUGUUUGGAGGAUGAGCUAUAAGAUAACCUUUAUAUUCUGUUAUAGCUUAUUCUGAAUUUCUAAUCACUUUACUGCAUAAUUAUGUACUGAUUGGUAAGCUAAAUGAGUAUAUUUGAAAUGUAUAUUAACUAUUGUCACAGUUACCUGGUAUGUUACCCCAAUGACCAUAUUUAAUAUUUGUCAGGUCUCUAUAUUUAAAUUCAAAACAAUGAUUAAAGAUUUUUAUUUGCAUACUGAUCUUGGCUACUAUGUUUGUCUUAUAUACAAGCAUAAUUUGUGAUUCUCGAACAUGUCGAGAGGAUUGGACUGUUGGAGUAUACAUGUAAUAUUUGAAGUCGAAGAUGCAUAUAUUUUUUACAAUUAUUCUUUCUGGUUAGCUUCUUUAGAGUGUAAAUAUGCUUAGCUUCGACACAUUUUCAGGUGAGAGGUGACAUUCUGCAAGUACUUCCAUUCUGUGAUUAGAUGUUUGUGGUUGUGACAUAGUUCUCAUACCUGAGAAGAGUUUUCCUACUUUGGCAAUGACUAGAUCGUAAGGUUUUUACUUUUAAGUUCGUCACUCGCUUUAAGAGUUAAUAAAAAGAAGCUAUCGCGAAAAUGAAAUUUUAUGCCUUCAAUACCACAACUAAAUGCUAAGAUGCUCAUAGCGUUCCUACUGGAAUUGCAGUCAUCUCACUGUUGCAUUCAUGACCAAAACCAACCGUUGGGACUCCGGCUUACAUUACUCCAGAGGUCUUGUCCAGAAAAGAAUAUGAUGACAAGCUUUCUGAUUCCUUGGGAUAACUGCUUGCGUGGUAUAGAGAUUUUGGAAGCUGAAGAGUGGAGAUGUGUGAUUUUUCAGCCUCUAUACAAGUGAGAGUUGUCUUUAGGUGGAAUUCUUCCACCAACUACCAAUGGCACUGGUAAGCUCAUAUGUAGGAGUUGGACAAGAUUACCAGUCUAUGAAGCUUAUUUUUGUUGGGAAACACCCUUUUAUAUUAGCUCUGUUGGCAGGCAAAUAUGGUCAUUCAAUUGAAGCAUCGGACUAUUUGAAUGAGGACACAAGUAUGAACACAAUAUAGAUAUCUGCAUCUUUCC